GGGCCUGUCCCACCCACCAGCACUGCUAUAAACCCAGCGUCUUUGGGGCACUGCAGCAUUGCCUGGCCCCAAGGGCAUCUGGACACAGCCAUUCCUGCUGGCUUUGCUGCUGCCUGAACACCACAGCCUUUGUCAGGGAGCCCUGCGAACCCUCGGAAGAGGUAGCAGCCAUGAAGAUCCUGUUCCUGCUCUUCCCCCUGAUCCUCCUGUUGGUCCAGGGUGAUGCAGGCAAUGCAGCUGCAUGCCGGUCAAAACGGGGAAUCUGCAUCAAGCAUUAUUGCCCCAGCGGUUCAUAUCGUGUUGCGGGAAGAUGUUCACGAG